rnacentral:rRNA from 1 species
GACGAACGCUGGCGGCGUGCCUAAUACAUGCAAGUCGAGCGAGCGGCGGACGGGUGAGUAACACGUAAGGAACCUACCGAUAAGCGGGGGACAACAUCCGGAAACGGGUGCUAAUACCGCAUACUUAUCGAUGGCCUUGCGGUGCAUUAGCUCGUUGGUGGGGUAACGGCCUACCAAGGCAGUGAUGCAUAGCCGACCUGAGAGGGUAGUCGGCCACAUGGGGACUGAGACACGGCCGAAGCUCCUACGGGAGGCGACAGUGGGGAAUCUUCCGCAAUGGGCGCAGGCCUAACGGGGCAACGCCGCGUGAGUGAAGAAGGUUUUCGGAUCGUAAAGCUCUGUUGUAAGAGAAGCGGUAUCUUACCAGAAAGCCACGGCUAACUACGUGCCAGCAGCCGCGGUAAUAC